GAUGAACAGGGCAAACUGACACUAAACCAGGCUGAGUGCUGCAAUUCAGCACUACUCCUCCCAUUCCCAGAAGGCUAGGUUCAUAAUGGUGGAGAUUCUCCCAAAUAUCUUCAUUCCAUCACAAGAACACUGCCAGGCUUUUGGCAGACUACAAAUACUUUUUCUUUUCUUUUCUUUUCUUUUCUUUUCUUUUCUUUUCUUUUCUUUUCUUUUCUUUUCUUUUCUUUUCUUUUCUUUUCUUUUCUUUUCCUUUUAAUUAGGGAAAAUGGUUUCAAGAGGAAGAUUUAAAAAUGUUAAUAAUGUGAACUCCUAAGAGGCAUAAUAAUAGAGACACUUAUUGGAUAUACUACCUUAAAAAGUAAACUUAGCAAAACAAAAUGUAACAAAUAAUGUAAUAAUUGCCAUCUUCCCCUGGCUAAACCAAAAUAUCUCUUGAACUUUUUUUAUCUCAACAUGGGCUUUUUUAUUUUCUCACUGAUAAUUUUUCUGGUUUUUAAUUUUUCUAUUCAGGAAUAAGUCUAACACGCCCAAUUACCAUCUCAAGGCUUCAUGGAUAUCACGUUACAUGGAAUGAAAAAACAGCUCUUGGGUCAAGACACAGUUACAGCAGGCUGCAGUCUUGGGUCCAGGUGUGCGGUUACCAUGGCUCUCGUGAUGCCCUGCGGUAGCACUUUCUGCAUCCUCAUCAGCGACAAGCGUUCCCUCACUCCGAGUCAGGCUGAAACACCGUGGUUCAAAAGGGGAGAGAAGAUGUGGGAACGGCCUUGUCGCUCUGGGCUGCGGAGAGCCCUGCAGAGCGCGUCUGGGACAUGGACAGCGAACCAGAAUCUCUAGAAGAGAAAACUGAAGGUUAACACCGCUUCGUGCCAUAAAGGAUUCUGGAUUUGAGAAGAGGGAGAUACUGUAAACUGUAUCAUGGCACCUGCACACAAGCUUUUGUGAAAUGUUACAUCAGUGUCUCACUUGGCAGAGGGACAACACCGUGAGAAGGGAGAGUUGCAGCCUUCCCAUGAGCUCCAGGGAGAUGGACAAAACUUUUUGAAAAUAUUCCUGGUACUGAACUCAUUAAUUAAUUGGAAAUGCAGCUUAUUUCCUUUUCAUAGGUUUCAGAUUUGUGUCAAAUCCUAAACACAUAUAAUUGAAGAGGAAGCAUGUGAUAUUUCAUACAUUCUGUAUUCAAGUCAAAACAUUCAAUUUUGGAAGACACUCUGGGUGAAGGCUGUAUUUGCUAUUACUCACUCCUCUGAUACUUCUUUUCUUUCCACUGUCUGAUUCACUUCUUUAAUCAUAUUUCCUCUCUUUUGCUCUUCCUCAAUCAUACCCACCUACUUAAAACUAAUCACAUACUAAAAAGUGCAUAAUUAGGUUUUCAUUACGUUCUUUCCUGACAUAAUUUUUGAUUAUGUAAUUAAGGGUUCUCACUGAGCUCUUGAACUGAGAGAAAAUUUUUGGUUUAAUUAAUCAAAUGGUCCUUCUCAAUUCAGAGUAGCUUUAAGUAGUUUUGUUUUUAAGUCAGGUGCAAAAAGUGUUUCUAUUACUCCUGACAUAAUGCUAUAUGAUCUGAUCUUUACCCUCUAAAGCCAACAAUGGAGAAGCACAGCCUUGACAACAGGCUCAGGUAUAUUUAUCUAAAGAAAAGAAGAUAUAUCAAACUUCAAUAUGCUUGACAUAGGAUGAUUUUUAAAAUUUUUUCAAAUUCUUUUUUUUUUCUAUUGUAAAAUGGAAGUUUGUCAGAUUUUUAUUAAAUAGUCAAUUAAACUGGGGUUGUUCCAAGUGAUUUUUCCCCAUAUGAGACCAUUUACAAGUUUGCAACUUCUUUCACUUUUUUCUAACAAAUUAACAAAUUCUUACAAUUUUUUUUCUUUUGGGAGAGUACUAAAAAAGGCAGCUGGAAGAUUUGCAGAUUGUAUGCAAAUAAGUAUUUGCCCUGCAUUGAUACAAUCAAGCAAAGGUUCACUCUCUGUAUUUUGUUCUCUGUAAGUACAUGAAGUAAAAAUAACAUGAACAACAGUGCUUGUUUUUGUUUUUUUAUAAAUUGCUUCUUCCUGACUGCAUUUGCAUUAUUUCCUCUGCCAGUACAUUGAACAGGAAAAGCCACCUACCUCUGUGUCAGCACAGCCGAGGUAUAGAAAUUGUGAUGAGGAGGUGGAGGCUGGAAUUCUGUGGCCAGUUCAAAACUCGUGGUGUUUUCACAGGAAAAUGUUUUAUGGCACAUAUAUAGACCUGGAAUACAUGGCAUCUAUCCACUCUUCUUUUCUCCAGUUCUAGUCUUUGCUUUGCCUGAUGCACCUCAGUGGUGCUGAUGGUAUAGAGCAUGAUUUUGGGGCAAGGGAUUGGCACUAGCUCAGCAUCCUGUUGCCAGCUGAAGGGGUAUUGGUGAAUUGUUCUCAGCUUAAGAUCAGACCAUGCCCGAGGGACUGACUGGGCUGGGCCCACUCCGUGUGCUGCGUGAGGAAGACGAGCAAACAUCACAGAACGUGCUGCUGCAUCUCCUGCAUCUUUGACACUUGGUGUUCCAAAUGCAGCUGUGCAGAGGUGUCUGGGAUUUACUGUCUGCACCUGCAAUCUUGGUCAGGUUUUUUUUAAUACUGGAGUAUAUGAGUAAACUAACAUGCAUUUCUGAGAUGAUAUGUGAAUUCUUCUCCACUAAAUACUAAGAGUGAUGGACGUCUGCAUUUGAUGUACUGACGAUCUUUGCUAAGGAUGGGUGGAGACAGUUUCAUAUCACAACAGCACAAAACAGAGAGCUUGGUCAUAAUACAUAAUUUUGCCAUUUAUAGGCUCCCUGUGCAUCUUGUAUCCAGUAUAAAACUCUCUCCAUGGUUAUUGUAGUGCACACAUUUUGUAUCUAUAAGGCUGAAUUCAUGUAACCUGGAAACAUUUAGUCAUUGGUGUAGCUUGGACUGUGUUUUUAUUGUUGAACUUAACUGAAGUGUGAGCUACCCUUUUUUCCUUUCGACAUUGUUGCAUGUUUUCAACCACUUCCUUUGUGACACUGUGGUGAACAGGAUCAGGAACUGAUCAGCUGAUCCAGCUCAAAUUAACUGGAAGGCGAACAAACAAAAGGUCCUUUUUUGAAUCAGAUUUGCUCCCUGACAAGCUCAGUGUGCUUGUCAAGAGUUACUGCAGGCAUGAGAGGAGGUGUUCAGUCGUGUGGUAAGGGCAGGGAUGGGAGAAGGAUGGGAUUGCCUCCUUUGGCAGUAACUCAUCUAAAGAUCAGUUUAAAGCCAUUUGUGAAACUACAGCCUUGCAUAACUACCAGCAUCAACACUGGAUGCAGUCCUUGGAAUUAUAACCACUCAUUAGAGCUUGUGGAACUUCCGUGGCCUGUGAGCUCACAGUGUAGGGGAGAAAGAUGUUCUAGGAAAUCAUCACCAGCUCUAACAGAACUAUAGCAGUCCCUCUAGGGAAGGGGAAUCAGACUUUUUUGUACUAUUGAUAUCUUCAAAACAGGCUUCUUUCUUUUUCCUUGGUUGAUCUUUGUGCAGAAACACUAAAAGCGCAGCAAUAAAAAUGCCAUUAAACUAACA
ensembl:lncRNA